rnacentral:rRNA from 1 species
UACAGAGGGGGCAAGCGUUAUUCGGAAUUAUUGGGCGUAAAGGGCGCGUAGGCGGCUUGGCAAGUGGAUGGUGAAAUCCCUCGGCUUAACCGAGGAACCGCCGUCCAAACUGCUUCGCUUGAGACCGGGAGAGGUGAGUGGAAUUCCCAGUGUAGCGGUGAAAUGCGUAGAUAUUGGGAGGAACACCAGUGGCGAAGGCGGCUCACUGGACCGGUACUGACGCUGAUGCGCGAAAGCGUGGGGAGCAAACGGG